UACCAGCACCCCGAGUGGUCGGGACGUUUAUUGGGCCUAAAGCAUCCGUAGCUGGUUCUACAAGUCUUCCGUUAAAUCCACCUGCUUAACAGAUGGGCUGCGGAAGAUACUAUGGAGCUAGGAGGCGGGAGAGGCAAGCGGUACUCGAUGGGUAGGGGUAAAAUCCGUUGAUCCAUUGAAGACCACCAGUGGCGAAGGCGGCUUGCCAGAACGCGCUCGACGGUGAGGGAUGAAAGCUGGGGGAGCAAACCGG
rnacentral:rRNA from 1 species